CGAAAGCCUGACGGAGCAAUACCGCGUGAGGGAUGACAGCCUGUGGGUUGUAAACCUCUUUUCUCAAGGAAGAAGUUCUGACGGUACUUGAGGAAUAAGCAUCGGCUAACUCUGUGCCAGCAGCCGCGGUAAUACAGAGGAUGCAAGCGUUAUCCGGAAUCACUGGGCAUAAAGCGUCUGUAGGUUGUUCAGUAAGUCUGCUGUUAAAUACUAGGGCUUAACCCUAGGCCAGCAGUGGAAACUGCUAAACUUGAGUAUGGUAGAGGUAGAGGGAAUUCCUAGUGUAGCGGUGAAAUGCGUAGAUAUUAGGAAGAACACCAAUGGCGAAAGCACUCUACUGGGCCAUAACUGACACUGAGAGACGACAGCUAGGGGAGCA
rnacentral:rRNA from 1 species